ACAGCGUCGCCUGCUGGUUUCUCUGCAUCUUACCCAUCGUCUGCUUGUGAUGUGAAUUCAAAGGGAGAAGAGAAAGAGAAGGCUGGGUCUGGCAGCUGCUGUCCAUCUCCAGCAGUCACUGUGCAAGAGGUAUGGUACAACCUGGACAGGCCUUGAGUCCUUCACAGGGACACUUGGAGACACAUGACCAUUUAUGAUUAGUGGCUUUCAGCUGCAACCUGUACCGUCUCUGCAACUGGCCCGACGGGAACAACUGGAUUCUGCAGCCGACAAAUCAGCGCUCAGGGUUUGGUUUUAAUGUGUCGCAGUGAAAGGAGUUUAAUGGAGCAGAGGUUGCAACUUACCUUUUUUUUCUGAAGAUGAACCACUGUUGUUUUGUGUUGCUCGGGUUCUUUGAUCAACCUGAGCAGAAAACAGGU